CGGGCUUAACCUGGGAAUUGCAUUGAGGACUGUGGAGCUAGAGUGCGGCAGAGGGAGGUGGAAUUCCACGUGUAGCAGUGAAAUGCGUAGAGAUGUGGAGGAAUACCAAUGGCGAAGGCAGCCUCCUGGCCUAAUACUGACGCUCAUGCACGAAAGCGUGGGGAGCAAACAG
rnacentral:rRNA from 1 species